rnacentral:tRNA from 1 species
GCCUUCUUAGCUCAAUUGGUAGAGCAACUGAUUUGUAAUCAGUAGGUUGCUGGUUCGAUUCCGGUAGAAGGCU